GUUUGUCGCUCUGUGGUUUGUGAGGCUGCUCCAACCAAGAGGCUUGAUUAUGUUGAAAAGCGAGCUCGCCAGGUUGAGAAAAGGCGCAUUUACAACAAGUCCAAAAAGUCUGAGAUCAAAACUAGGUUGAAGAAGUGGAUGAUACGAAUAAGGAGAUAGAGGAGGUUCAGAGGCAGAGGAAGUCCCCGAUCUGGUGUGUCAGACUGUCAGCUCGACAACUUCCAGCGCAUGGUCGAUACCUUCACCACCUUUCGAUGGAAGCGCCAUCAGGUCGAUUAUACGCAAUGGAGCGAGGGCUGAAGAUUCCUCAGAACAAGUGCACCAAGACCACCAAUUCCCUCCUGAUUUCACUCAUGAAGCUGCUUGAAAAGCUUGAGCAGAAGCAGAAGUAUGCGGCUUGAAAAGCAGCAGAUAUAAAGAAAGUUGUGAAAGAAGGAAGGAAACCUCAGGCUGGCCCCUCUGCAGAUAGCAUUGGAGGGCAGUUACAAGGAAGAAUUUGUUCAAGGAAUUUGACAACCAUCAAUGAAGACUUCAUAAGAGACAUGUUUUGGAACAACAUGUGUAUCAGCUUGGCUCCUAUGAAUCGGCAAAGUAUGUCGUGAAGGCGUAUGUGUAGGAUAAAGAAAAGCAUAAGA